AUAAAAGACAUCCUCUCCAGCAUUGAACAGAGCCGAGUUGAUGGAAUUGAAGUAGGCCUAUUCAAUCGAGCGUCAUCUUUUUCGUAGGGACGCGAACUUUUCCCAAAUCGUUCAGGAACCAGAAGCACUUUCCUCCAUGGCACCUGUACGUUGAUGUUUCUUAUUCCUCUUUUUGGCAACAGCACUUUUAUUGUUUCAAGAAAUGUCGUUGCAUUCCAAAUAGAGAAAACUACACUUUGGAAAGAAUUGUACAGAACAAAGCUAGCCAGUUCCAUUUUUUAAAAACCUCUCUGAAGUAAGGCCAGAACAAUUAUCUAAUCGAGUGGUGUAUGUGAUUUACUGUGAGCCCCCCUGCAAGGCACCAGCCCAACUAGCUCCAGGUACCCUGUCUCUGAGGUGAUCUGAUCUGACUAGGGUUGCAAUGAUCCCUACGCGUGCUGAUCGAGACAUCAGCAGCCGAGAAGAAAGAUCGUAUAGCGCCGAUCGAGUGAAGCCACAUUCGAACAUCCAGAGACUUGCUGGUAGGAGCAGGUGGUACCCAUGGGGAGGCCGGGUCAGAGUGUGGACCAUUGGCAGAGGGGAGCCCUGGCAGCUAGGAUAGUGUGACACCGGGCUAUACCCAGAACAGACCCUGUGCCACAGCCGGUCUGGACUACCGAGAGGUGGACAUGGAGAUCACAUUCUGGAAGCAAGUACAUGUAGCAAGUCUGAAGUUUUUCUCACUGGCAGACUUCAUAGGAGGGGUACGCAUCACCCAGGGCCAAAGCGACAGGUGGACUGAAGGUUUUUAAUAAGUAUUUUUUUGGGGGGGGGAAGUGCCACCCCUUCUCCCCAGAUGCCUAUGAAUCCACCAGAAGUCCUCGAAAAGCCAUCCAGUCACAUGCUAUUCAACUACAUGCAAGCUGUCACACACAGGCAUCCCCUUUGCAAUGGUUCACCUCACGCUUGUGCUAGGUCUUGUGAAAGGGCUCUUGAUGGAGUCGACUUCAACACCAGUUUCUUCUACAUCUUUUUCAACUUUAAUAUUUCAUUUGCCGCUUCCCCGUGUUCAGGGUUCACUCACUUCACUAUCGUCGUGAGCGACAACUUCAACGGAGUGAUCAGCUUUGAGCGAGAAUCGAAGAUGCCCAGCCCUCUGUUACGCUCACACUCAAAAGAGGGCAGGCUUUCUUUGGUGAAGUCAUACUGAGUCUCCCCAGCCAUCAUUUGCAUUAAAUAAAUUACUCUUUAAGUUUUGCUGAAAAGCAUGACUCAGUUUGAACGUCUGGAAAAGAUAAAGUUUCGUGAGCAGGAAGAUUAUGUCAAUUUCAGGUGAAGUGGCGAGCGACGCACAGUCCAAUUCGGGGACAUCACCAAUGAUGCUGAUCUCUAUACACAACUCGGGGAAGUGGAGGGCAUGGUGACAUGCCCAGCCGACCAGUGACUGUGCACGUUUGUUGUCGGUGGCUACCGGUGGGGCCGUUGUCCACACCCAUCGCGGCAGCCAGCAUCACCCUCGUGGAAGACGAUCGGAUUGUCUGAUAUCUGGGACAACCACUACAGCCCUCUCGUUGGUCUGAGUGACAACAACAUCUACAACAUCCUCCUGGGCAUGGUGGAACAUGGCAGGGCUAGCUAGGGGCCAGGUGACCGAGGAGCAGCUGGCCGUUGUCAUGGAUACCAUUCGGAUGGUCGGUGCUU